AAGGGGGUUGGUUUUGUAUAUUUAUCAUUAUAAAUGCACAUUAUAGAAAACCUGAAUAAACUAGGAAAAAACUUUAGAGUGAAGAAUUCUUUGUUUUAAUAUUACAUGCAUAAUUUUUAAAUUUUCUAUUAGGAAAUUAGAAAAACACUAAUCAGAGUCCCCUAAAACUAAGCGAACAGUAAAACUUGCUGAAGCAAGUAUGGGAUUGAUAUCUAUCAAUUUUGCAACAUCAGAAAGGAAGGAUUUGAGUUAUCUAAAGGUAAUCAUCAAAUUAGGGCUCACAAACAAUUGAUUGCAGGUGUGCCUGUAAUGCCUUCACUGGAGGUGUUUGUGAGCCUGUAACUACUAAAACUCAAUUUUAGAGCCGUGGAAGCAAACACUCCUGGAUUGGAUUCAGGAUCACUGUCAAGGGAAUCUGUGCCUACACAAUGUUUCAGAGUGUAUCUCUGGGCCACAAUGUGAAAGUAAUUGCAAAGAGUGAAUCAUAGACGGAUUGCCCAAGUUACUACAUCAGCCAAUGAUGAUACUAAAAGGUAAUUAUGAUCUUGUUAUAGAACCAUUACAAGGAAACAGGACUUGAUAAUUAAAUACCAUAUUACUAUAUUAUAACCCUCUGAAGAACAACCUAUUCAACUAUGGUCAAUUUAAGAAAUAAAAACAUAACUCCUAGAAUUAGUCCUUCAUCUGUAAGCUUCACAACUCAUUUUCAAAGUAAAAUUUUUUUAAAAAUCUCAAAAAAUUCUCUGCUACAACAGAUUUCUUCAAUACCUACCUCGUUUAGAGGAAAGGAUAAUGAGUAAGCUAUAUUGAAAAGGAUUUGGAGGGCACGCAUUUAACAUUGAUUUUCAGUGUUUUGGCAAAUAGAAUCAAAUCAUACUAUUUACCAUUUAGGCAUCUUACCACUCAGUGAAAUCCAUAGCCCCAAGUAUUGGCUUAGGCUCCCUAACUACACUGCAUGAGAAUUAGAUACUUAGGAAUGCAAUUUGAGUGGAGAAAUGGUCUGCAGUUAGAAAACAUUUAUGGCCAUUUCAGGAUAUACCAAAUGGCACCUCUUCUUCCAUUGUUGUUGUUUUGGAUUCAUACUAAUUGUCUUGAAGUUUGAGAGAAACCUAUAUAAAAAUUACUAUUUUAUUUGAUAAUAAGCUCAAUUUUACAUGUUUUGGUAUGAUGCAUGGUGCCACAUCUUCUAAGUUUAUUCAGUGCAUAGUGCCUUGUAGUACAAGAAAUAAAUUAUUGUAUUAGCAAAAAUAACAUAUCCCACAACAAUUUAUAUCUGAACUAUUGGCAAUUCUUAAGAAGUUUAAUGGGAAGGUUACUUGAUAUUUCAGGUGAACUAAAGCUUGGAAUAAGGGCGUGGGCCUAAACAUUCUAUACUUAUGAAUUACCUGCCAAGUCUGGAUUCUAUACUUAAUAUUGUCCAUUAUUUUAUUUUUAAUCUCUAAUAUUAAAAGUCACCUCUGUACCUGAUGCUUUACAUAAAUUAAAAACCCUGAAAAAAAUCUUCAAAAUAAAAAAGCUUAAUUACAGAAACCCUGCUCUCUGAUAUAAAAAAGGAGAUAGUCCUUGCCCUUGUAAAUAUUCCUUGUAACUGUAGUUCUUUGAGAUGUGUGUCCAUAUAGGAGCUCCACUUGUAUUUGAUUGGACAUUUUCAUUUUCAGCAUUUGCUCAUGCCUGCAUAUCUGAUACUAACAACCUUGUGUAUUGCUUCAAGACUGUAUCAAGCUGCAUGGGCAAACCACCCUCAGCUCCUUCUCUCCCAUAAAACUAUAGCAAAAGGGAAGACGACAGUAGUGGAGCACCCAUAGAAUGCACAUCUUGAAGAUCUACUGUGAUUGCAUGUGGUAAGAGAAAUUAUUUUCCCUGAGUAGUGUAUCUAUGGGUCUUUCACUUUACUUUAUGGGUGAAUCUUAAGGAUAUCCCCAUAAGGAACAAGAAGCUUUGAGAACCAGUCCAGCACAGAACAUUGCCAAUUGACUCAUCAGCUCUAGACACAUUGGCUAAGACAUAGUGCCUGCAGAAGAUAUGUACUGAAGAUCAUAUAGCAUAUAGAUUUGGAGAUCUCACACACUGGGGCAUUUUUUAAUGACAGACAUAGAGGCAAAUUGUGACCACAUAGAAUGAGCAGACACACUGAUAAGGGGUGGAAUGUUGACAGCACAAACAUUCUUUUGAUGUUUAAUGAAAUGAAAUGAUUUAAUCCUAUCUAGAUGGAAAAAUAAUGCCCUCCUGAUGUCUAUAGUAUGGAGAGUGAUCUCCUUGUUGAAAAUAUAUGGUUUUGGAAAAUACAAUGAACAGAGUGACUAACUCCAUGAACCAUCAAGAAGCCAUGCCUGGAAGUGGAGAAUGCUCAGAUUCAGAUGCAGCAAAUGUCCAGCAUUAUGGGACAGAAGACGAGCAGUGAGUGGGAGAGUUAUCAUUGAACAAAUGUCUACAUGAAACAGCCUGGAAGACUCCACAGGUGAAUCAGCAAAUCUUUGUGACCAAUAUUAUCAAAGACAAGGCUGGCAGGAACAUCUGAAGGAAAGAACAUCUGCAAUUUCUUACUAAACAUCUUCAAAAAUGGAAGGUUAUAAACAGUGUUGUCAAUGAUAAUGUCAUUAAUAUUAAAAGGUAGCUCUCUGAACAGAGGCUUUACCACUGAUAUUGAAGGGCAGUUAGCAACCUGGCUUUCAAAAGGAAAACUUUAACAAUUUGCCAUCAAUUAUAAAUUUAAAUCUGCCCCAUUUUUAGACAGAGCCAGCUUAAUCAGUAGAAGUGCAAUUGAUCUUUCCAGUAAAAGAGCUAGACAUUGUCUCAUACUGAAACUAAAAAAGUCGAACAGCAUUAAGAAAAAUAGGCUUCAACAUUUGGAACAAUUAUAAUAGAUGAGACUUUGCUGAUUUUAUAGCAAAGAAAAGGAGUCACUUUUACAGUAUGUCUUUGUCACCACUUCAGCAUAGGAAUGUAAAAAUUCUUUAUGCUGCAAUCAGUCUGAUUCAGAGUGAACCUUUCACCAGUGGUACUCUGACUUCUUUCCUUCAUCAGUUCCUCCAUCAACUGUAUGUCAUUCAGAAACCACAGUGAUCUGAUAGCGCAUAAAGACAUAGAUCUCUAACUGCUAGCCUAUCAGUGUUUGUGGAUAAAAACUUACCAUAAAAAUCCAGUGAACUACAGACAGUCCCCGGGUUACGUACAAGAUAGGGACUGUAGGUUUG